rnacentral:rRNA from 1 species
AUAUGGUCAAGUUACUAAGAGUGUAUGGGGGAUGUCUUGGUGUCGAGAGGCGAUGAAGGACGUGGCAGACUGCGAUAAGUCCGGGGCAGGAGUCUAGCAUCCGUUAAUCCCGGAAUGUCCGAAUGGGGUAACCCAGCAAGGGCGGGCAACCGUCCCUUGUUACUCAUGGCUGAAUGCAUAGGCCAUGUAGAGCGAACGCAGGGAACUGAAACAUCUAAGUACCUGCAGGAAAGGAAAUCAACCGAGACUCCGUAAGUAGCGGCGAGCGAAAGCGGAUCUAGCCCAAACCAGGCCUUGUGCCUGGGGUUGCGGGCGCUGAUAAGGAGUUACAAAGGUAAUGCCAGUUGAAGGGUCUGGAAAGUCCCACCACAGAAGGUGAUAGUCCUGUAAACAAAAGCAUUUACUCUCCGUUAUUAUCAGCGUACCAGAGUAGCACGGAGCUCGUGAAACUCCGUGUGAAGCUGGGGGGUCCACCCUCCAAGGCUAAGUACUACUCGACAACCGAUAGUGCAAAGUAGCGUGAGCAAAAGAUGAAAAGUACCCUUAUUAAGGGAGUUAAAAGUACCUGAAACCAUACACUUACACAGCUGUGGGAGCCCUAUGAUCUUCGGAUAAUGGGUGACCGCGUGCCUUUCGCAUAAUGAGCCGGCGAGUUACUGUUUGUGGCAAGGUUAAGCACUUAAGGUGCGGAGCCGUAGCGAAAGCGAGUCUUAAUAGGGCGAAUAAGUCGCAGGUAGUAGACGCGAAAAAGUCUAAUCAAACCUGGAGAUAGCUCGUUCUCUUCGAAAUAGCUUUAGGGCUAGCCUCGAGUUAUAUAGUUUACGGGGGUAGAGCGACUGAUUGGGGAUGGGGGGCUACCCGCCUACCCACCCCUACCAAACUCCGAAUACCGUAAACCUUACCUCGGGAGUCAGACCGCGGGCGAUAACGUUCGUGGUCAAGAGGGAAAGAACCCAGACCGCCAGCUAAGGUCCCCAAUUUAUGCUAAGUUACUAAGGAAGUCUGAGUGCUGAGACAAUCAGGAUGUUGGCUUAGAAGCAGCCACCAUUUAAAAAGUGCGUAAUAGCUUACUGAUCGAGCAUUCGGGUGCCGAUAAUGAACGGGAAUAAGCAUAAAACCGAAGCUGCGGAUGCAUCCUUAUGGAUGCGUGGUAGAAGAGCGUAACUGUCAGCGCCGAAGCGAUACGGAAACGAGUCGUGGAGCGGCAGUUAGUGAUUAUGCCGGCAUGAGUAACGAUAAAACAGGUGAGAAUCCUGUUCGCCGAAAACCUAAGGUUUCCUGGGGAAGGGAAAUCCGCCCAGGGUUAGUCGGCCCCUUAGUCGAGGCCGAAAGGCGUAGACGAUGGAUAGCAGGUUAAUAUUCCUGCACUACGUUGUGGACGAAAGCAGUGACGCAUUUUCUUAAGCCAUCCCGUGAAUAGUCGUGCGGGUCCCGCAAGGGCGAGGACAAUUUAAGAUUCCGAAGUGGCCCGCGAAGAUGCCAAGAAAUAGCUGCCGUAGAUUGAAACCAGCGUAACCGUACUAAAACUGACACAGGUAGGUGAGGAGAAUAUCCUCAGGCGCUCGAGAGAACCGUCCUUAAGGAACUCGGCAAAUUGACCCCGUAAGUUCGCGAUAAGGGGACCCUCCAGGGACCAUUAUUUCGAUAUUGGUCUGCUGAGGGCACAGAAAAGUGGCUCUGGCGACUGUUUACCAAAAACACAGUUCUCUGCUAACACGCAAAGUGGAUGUAUAGAGAAUGACGCCUGCUCGGUGCCGGAAGGUUAAGGGGAUGGGUUAUCCCACACUAAUUUUGCUCAGGAGUGGAUUAUGUAUUAUGUUUAUUGACGGUCCUAAGGUAGCGAAGUUCCUUGUCGGGUAAGUUCCGACGUGCAUGAACGGCGUAACGACUGGAGCACUGUCUCAAGGACGGACUCGGUGAAAUUGUAGUUGUGGUGAAGAUACCACAUACCCGCGGCAAGACGGAAAGACCCCGUGAACCUUUACUGUAGCCUGGUAUUGAUACCUGGCAUAUCAUGCGUAGGAUAGGUGGGAGGCUGUGAAGCAGGCAUUUCGGUGCUUGUGGAGCCAUCCUUGAAAUACCACCCCUGCUAUGUUAGUUACCUAACCGCGACCCGUGAAUCCGGGCGUGGGACAGUGCUUGGUGGGCAGUUUGACUGGGGCGGUCUCCUCCUAAAGAGUAACGGAGGAGUUCAAAGGUACCCUCAGCAUGGUUGGCAAUCAUGCAAAGAGCGUAAAGGUGAGCCAGGUCGGUCCCUAUCUGCCGUGGGCGCAGGAAUUUUGAGAGGAUGUUUCCUUAGUACGAGAGGAUUGGGAAGCACUGACCUCUGGUGUACCGGUUGUCGCGCUAGCGGCACCGCCGGGUAGCUAAGUCGGGAAAGGAUAACCGCUGAAAGCAUCUAAGCGGGAAGCCCACCUCAAGAUGAGAAUUCCAUGGACCUUCGGGUCCGAGAGAACCCAGAAAGACUAUCUGGUUGAUAGGCCGGGUGUGUAAGUGACGAAAUUCAUUAAGCUAACCGGUACUAAUGUUCGAUUACUUGACCAUAU